GAUGAACGCUGGCGGCAUGCCUAACACAUGCAAGUCGGACGGGAAACACGGGACACGGUGCUUCCAGUGGCGGACGGGGGAGUAACGCGUACGAACCUGCCCUUGGGAGGGGAGAAACAGCUGCAAACGGCGGCUAAUACCCCGUAGGCAGAGAUGCAAAGGGAGGAAUCCGCCCGAGGGGGGGCUCGCGUCUGAUUAGCUAGAUGGGGUGGCAAUAGCUUACCAAGGCGAUGCUCAGUAGCGGGUCCGAGAGGGUGAGCAGCCACACUGGGACUGAGACACGCCGCAGACACCUCCGGGAGGCAGCAGUGGGGAAUAUUCCGCACUGGGGGAAAGCGUGAGAGAGCAAUGCGGCGUGGAGGUAGUGGGCGCACGGGUGGUGAACUUCUUUUCUAGGAGAAGAAGCAAUGACGGUAUCUGGGGAAUAAGCAUCGGCUAACUCUGUG
rnacentral:rRNA from 1 species